UAAUGUACUAAGCAAUGUUACUGAAAAAAA
rnacentral:piRNA from 1 species